rnacentral:rRNA from 1 species
UUAAGUCCCGCAACGAGCCGCAACCCUUGUCACUAGUUGCCAUCAUUUGUUGGGCACUCUAGUGAGACUGCCGGUGACAAACCGGAGGAAGGUGGGGAUGACGUCAAGUCCUCAUGGCCCUUAUGGUAGGGCUUCACACGUCAUACAAUGGUCGGUACAGAGGGUUGCCAAGCCGCGAGGUGGAGCCAAUCCCUUAAAGCCGAUCGUAGUCCGGAUCGUAGUCUGCAACUCGACUACGUGAAGUCGGAAUCGCUAGUAAUCGCAGAUCAGCAUGCUGCGGUGAAUACGUUCCCGGGUCCUU